rnacentral:rRNA from 1 species
CCGGGAGGGGCCAGCGAGACUUGUANCGUUGGCANCCGCUUCUUUUCCCACCGGGAGCUUGCUCCACUCGGGAAAAGAGGAGUGGCGAACGGGUGAGUAACACGUGGGUAACCUGCCCAUCAGAAGGGGAUAACACUUGGAAACAGGUGCUAAUACCGUAUAACAAUCGAAACCGCAUGGUUUCGUUUUGAAAGGCGCUUUACGGUGCCGCUGAUGGAUGGACCCGCGGUGCAUUAGCUAGUUGGUGAGGUAACGGCUCACCAAGGCCACGAUGCAUAGCCGACCUGAGAGGGUGAUCGGCCACAUUGGGACUGAGACACGGCCCAAACUCCUACGGGAGGCAGCAGUAGGGAAUCUUCGGCAAUGGACGAAAGUCUGACCGAGCAACGCCGCGUGAGUGAAGAAGGUUUUCGGAUCGUAAAACUCUGUUGUUAGAAGAAGAACAAGGGUGAGAGUAACUGUUCACCCCUUGACGGUAUCUAACCAGAAAGCCACGGCUAACUACGUGCCAGCAGCCGCGGUAAUACGUAGGUGGCAAGCGUUGUCCGGAUUUAUUGGGCGUAAAGCGAGCGCAGGCGGUUUCUUAAGUCUGAUGUGAAAGCCCCCGGCUCAACCGGGGAGGGUCAUUGGAAACUGGGAGACUUGAGUGCAGAAGAGGAGAGUGGAAUUCCAUGUG